rnacentral:rRNA from 1 species
UACGGGGGGAGCAAGCGUUGUUCGGAUUUACUGGGCGUAAAGGGCGCGUAGGCGGCCAGCACAAGUCAGUUGUGAAAUCUCCGAGCUUAACUCGGAAAGGUCAACUGAUACUGUGCGGCUAGAGUGCGGAAGGGGCAACUGGAAUUCUUGGUGUAGCGGUGAAAUGCGUAGAUAUCAAGAGGAACACCUGCGGCGAAGGCGGGUUGCUGGGCCGACACCGACGCUGAGGCGCGAAAGCUAGGGGAGCGAACGGG